AAGGAAAUCACGCUAUGUGAAGAAGUUCAGAGGCUAUAAAUCCUCAGCAGUUCAGCACCUCUCAGUCAAACAGUAGGUCUGUGAUUUGCCUUUGAUCUCACAGCUGUUCAGGAUGCAAUCAUUAACGAGACACACACACACACACACACACACACACACACACACACACACACAUUCUUGUACUUGUUGCGUUGUCAGGUCUACCUUGCAGUUCAGCUGCUUGUACACACAGGUAAUAUGUGUCUGCUUCACCACCUAUCUCCACCCACAAACUUUGAGCUACAGAAACCAUUCUGGGCUUGAAAAAUUCAGCUCAUUGAAGAUAUUAUGGGGUGUUUUGAGGAUUGUGAUAAUAAAUUGUAUUAAUGUGUUCAGCAAAAUCUUGUGUUCUCACAAGCUCCUUAUCAUGAAUAUAUACAGACGAUGAGCGUCAGGGCCUACUUGGAGUCCUGUUUCCUUAGCUUCAAGCCUUCUUUCUCCUGCUAUAGUUAUUCAUCCAAGGUCCCCAUGGCAACCAAUUUGUGCACCUGGAGACACACAGCUGACUGGAAAGCUGCUUCUAAUGGCCAUAUGAGACACAUGAAGCCAGGCUCAGUACACAUAGCACUGGGGAUGACACUUAAAACCCUUUCCUAGAGCGCUUGAAAAACCUUCAGCCCCUAUCUCCUCACAUGACCUUUGACCUACAGAAACCAUUCAGGGCUUUAAAAUUUAAGCUCAUUGAGGACAUUAUGGGGUGUAUUUAGGAUUUAUAUUCAUUUAAAUGUUUCACAUUUUAAAGUCACUCAGUGAUAAUUUAUCAUUUAAUUUUUCAAACUAAUUUAAACUCAUUCAAAAUGAUUCAAGCCUUUCUAAUACUUAAAAACUGUCUGAUACUUGAGGAUUUUUAAUUAAUAAAAUUUUCCCUGUUUUAUAUUAGUUUUAAUAUUUAUGCAUUAAUCCGUCCUUCAAACAAAAUCCUACCUCUAGUACUACAACUACUUAUGUCAAUUAAACUAGAACUUUCCCCUCUACUUCAACUGCUAUUGCUCCUAUUUCUACUUUCUCUACUGCUGCUAUUGCUACUAUUUCUACUUUCUUUACUACUUUGACUUAUACUUUUUUUAUUCUCAAUCUACUUCUACUGCUGACAUGACUACUAGUAUCACGACUUGACUUCUUAUCAUACUUCUUCUAGUACUACAACUUAAACUUAUGCCACUUCUCACCUUCCUGCCUUUAAAGGCAGUUUCCUUCUUCAUUCAAACUUUGUGCAAUUUUAGACAUUUUUCUAGCCUCUUUCAGCAUGAAUAAAAUUUCCUUUUAUAGAGCAUAUUCAUACUAUUUGUCCUUCAACCAAUUAAACUAUUAUCCAACUUAUAUUUCUUUUUCACCCCUUCAACAGCUUUAACAUUUAUACCUUUCUCCAUGUUUUAUUAGCAGUUUAGCAUUGCUUUUUCAGCUUUCAGCACUCAGCAUUUCCACGCAUUUUCUGCAAGGAAAUGCAAUUUUUCUAGUAUUAUACUUAACACUCUCCCCAUACGUUUCUUUGGACCGCUUCUCCUCCUUCAAACUUUGUCCGAUUUCAACCGUUCAAACUUUAAACUAUUCCACUCCAUCAGGACAUGUGUGCUUGUAUUUUUUUCCUUUCUAUCCUUUGUACUUUUUAUUAUUUUUCACUUUUUGUUCCAAACUUUUUUCCCAUAGAAAUGAAUGGGGAAAUCUUCCAAUUCUUCCUGUUAUUCGUGCACCUUCUAAGCCUUAUAACUUCAGCAUACUUUCACCUAGAGACCUAAUUUUUGCUUUAAAAUGUUCAUUGUCUUGUCGACUAAUGAUGUUGUAUUAACCUUUUUGUGCUAUCUUUUACAGUUUUUCCACAAUUUAGCUUUAUGCAACUUGUGGUUUUCAGCUAAUUUCAGGCUUUAUAAUAGGGAUGUAUUGGAGAGGCUAGAGUGAUGAUUUGAAAAGCUAGAGUGCAGACCUCGUCUCUGAUCGACAGAACCUCGCUCGAAUAUAUCGCUCCCACGCCCACAAAUCUCACUCCACAGCCAUAAAAAAUACAUCAAAAUGGAGGUAUAUGUGUCCUGCUUCUCACAAAAGAGGUUUCAAAUCAUUAAAUCCUACCCCUUGGCCAGCAGGUGACCAACUGUCCAAAUAGGCGCAAAUCUCUCCCCAUUGGCCCUAAUGUAUUUUUUCUCCAAGAAAAUCCUUAUCGUCACUCAGGCUCAGACUUUUUUAACUCGCUGUUGUGGCCACAUUUUUCGGAGUACAGACAUGAAAAACAGAUCAUUGUGUUCAUGAAGGAUGGAGGAUUCGUACGAUGUUCUUAUUUUCAUUCUGGGAUUUAAGGAAAUCGUGCUAUGUGAAGAAGUUCAGAACCCUAAAUUCACUGCAGUUCGGCAGCUUCUCCAUUCAAACAAUAGGUUAGUUAAUGCUUUGAUCUCACAGCUGUUUAGGAUGCAAUCAUUAACGAGACACACACACACACACACACACACACACACACACACACACACACACACACACACACACACACACACAGAUUCUUGUACUUUUUGCUGUCAGGUCUACCUUGCAGUUCAGCUGCUUGUAUACACAGUUAAUAUGUGUCUGCUUCACCACCUAUCUCCACCCACAAACUUUGAGCUACAGAAACCAUUCUGGGCUUCAAAAAUUCAGCUCAUUGAACAUAUUAUGGGGUGUUUUGAGGAUUGUGAUAAUAAAUUGUAUUAAUGUGUUCAGCAAAAUCUUGUGUUCUCACAAGCUCCUUAUGAAUUUAUACAGAGGAUGAGCGUCAGGGCCUACUUGGAGUCCUGUUUCCUUAGCUUCAAGCCUUCUUUCUCCUGCUAUAGUUAUUCAUCCAAGGUCCCCAUGGCAACCAAUUUGUGCACCUGGAGACACACAGCUGACUGGAAAGCUGCUUCUAAUGGCCAUAUGAGACACAUGAAGCCAGGCUCAGUACACAUAGCACUGGGGAUGACACUUAAAACCCUUUCCUAGAGCGCUUGAAAAACCUUCAGCCCCUAUCUCCUCACAUGACCUUUGACCUACAGAAACCAUUCAGGGCUUUAAAAUUUAAGCUCAUUGAGGACAUUAUGGGGUGUAUUUAGGAUUUAUAUUCAUUUAAAUGUUUCACAUUUUAAAGUCACUCAGUGAUAAUUUAUCAUUUAAUUUUUCAAACUAAUUUAAACUCAUUCAAAAUGAUUCAAACCUUUCUAAUACUUAAAAACUGUCUGAUACUUGAGGAUUUUUAAUUAAUAAAAUUUUCCCUGUUUUAUAUUAUUUUUAAUAUUUAUGCAUUAAUCCGUCCGUCAAACAAAAUCCUACCUCUAGUACUACAACUACUCAAUCUACUUCUACUGCUGACAUGACUACUAGUAUCACGACUUGACUUCUUAUCAUACUUCUUCUAGUACUACAACUUAAACUUAUGCCACUUCUCACCUUCCUGCCUUUAAAGGCAGUUUCCUUCUUCAUUCAAACUUUGUGCAAUUUUAGACAUUUUUCUAGCCUCUUUCAGCAUGAAUAAAAUUUCCUUUUAUAGAGCAUAUUCAUACUAUUUGUCCUUCAACCAAUUAAACUAUUAUCCAACUUAUAUUUCUUUUUCACCCCUUCAACAGCUUUAACAUUUAUACCUUUCUCCAUGUUUUAUUAGCAGUUUAGCAUUGCUUUUUCAGCUUUCAGCACUCAGCAUUUCCACGCAUUUUCUGCAAGGAAAUGCAAUUUUUCUAGUUAUUAUUAUUAUUAUUAUUUUUCUUCCGCCAUUUUUUGGACCGCUUCUCCUCCUUCAAACUUUGUCCGAUUUCAACCAUUCAAACUUUAAACUAUUCCACUCCUUCAGGACAUGAUGGCUUCCAUUUUUUUUCUUUCUACCCUUUAUACUUUUUGUUUUUUUUAACUUUUUGUGCAAAAAUUUUAACAUUGAAGUCAAUGGGGAAAUCUUCAACUUCUUCCUUUUCUUCUUCCACCUUCUAGACCUUAUAACUUCAGCAUACUUUCACCUAGAGACCUCAUUUUUGCUUUAAAAUGUUCAUUCACUUGUCGACUAUUAUAGUUGUACUCAGUUUUUUGAUAUCUUUUACAGUUUUUCCACAAUUUAGCUUUAUGCAACUUGUGGUUUUCAGCAAAUUUCAAGCUUUAUAAUGGGUGUGUAUUGGAGAGUUUAGAGUGAUGAUGUCAUCAGCUAGAGUGCAGACCUUGUCUCUGAUCGACAGAACCUCGCUCGAAUAUAUCGCUCCCACGCCCACAAAUCUCACUCCACUGACACAAAUAAUACAUCAAAAUGGAGGUGUAUGUGUCCUGCUUCUCACAAAAGAGGUUUCAAAUCAUUAAAUCGUACCCCUUGGCCAGCAGGUGACCAACUGUCCAGAUAGGCGCAAAUAUCUCCCCAUUGGCCCUAAUGUAUUUCUUCUCCAAGAAAAUCCUUAUCGUCACUCAGGCUCAGACUUUUUUAACUCGCUGUUGUGGCCACAUUUUUCGGAGUACAGACAUGAAAAACACAUCAUUGUGUUCAUGAAGGACGGAGGAUUCGUACAAUGUUCUUAUUUUCAUUCUGGGACUUAAGGAAAUCACGCUAUGUGAAGAAGUUCACAGGCUUCAAAUCCUCUGCUGUUCAGCUGCUUGUCAUUCAAACAGUAGGUCAGUGAUUUGCCUUUGAUCUCACAGCUGUUAGGGAUGCAGUCAUUAAUGAGACACACACACACACACACACAUUCUUGUACUUGUUGCUUUGUGAGGUCUACCUUGCAGUUCAGCUGCUUGUACACACAGUUAAUAUGUGUCUGCUUCACCACCUAUCUCCACCCACAAACUUUGAGCUACAGAAACCAUUCUGGGCUUCAAAAAUUCAGCUCAUUGAAGAUAUUAUGGGGUGUUUUGAGGAUUGUGAUAAUAAAUUGUAUUAAUGUGUUCAGCAGAGUCUUGUGUUCUCACAAGCUCCUUAUGAAUUAUACAGAGGAUGAGCGUCAGGGCCUACUUGGAGUCCUGUUUCCUUAGCUUCAAGCCUUCUUUCUCCUGCUAUAGUUAUGCAUCCAAGGUUCCCAUGGCAACCAAUUUGUGCACCUGGAGACACACAGCUGACUGGAAAGCUGCUUCUAAUGGCCAUAUGAGACACAUGAAGCCAGGCUCAGUACACAUAGCACUGGGGAUGACACUUAAAACCCUUUCCUAGAGCGCUUGAAAAAACUUCAGCCCCUAUCUCCUCACAUGACCUUUGACCUACAGAAACCAUUCAGGGCUUUAAAAUUUAAGCUCAUUGAGGACAUUAUGGGGUGUAUUUAGGAUUUAUAUUCAUUUAAAUUUUUCACAUUUUAAAGUCACUCAGUGAUGAUUUAUCAUUUAAUUUUUCAAACUAAUUUAAACUCAUUCAAACUGAUUCAAACCUUUCUAAUACUUAAAAACUGUCUGAUACUUGAGGAUUUUUAAUUAAUAAAAUUUUCCCUGUUUUAUAUUAUUUUUAAUAUUUAUGCAUUAAUCCGUCCUUCAAACAAAAUCCUACCUCUAGUACUACAACUACUUAUGUCAAUUAAACUAGAACUUUCCCCUCUACUUCAACUGCUAUUGCUCCUAUUUCUACUUUCUCUACUGCUGCUAUUGCUACUAUUUCUACUUUCUUUACUACUUUGACUUAUACUUCUUUUAUUCUCAAUCUACUUCUACUGCUGACAAUUAAACUAUCAUCCAACUUAUAUUUCUUUUUCACCCCUUCAACAGCUUUAACAUUUACACCUUUCUCCAUGUUUUAUUAGCAGUUUAACAUUGCUUUUUCAGCUUUCAGCACUCAGCAUUUCCACGCAUUUUCUGCAAGGAAAUGCAAUUUUUCUAGUAUUAUACUUAACACUCUCCCCAUACGUUUCUUUGGACCGCUUCUCCUCCUUCAAACUUUGUCCGAUUUCAACCGUUCAAACUUUAAACUAUUCCACUCCAUCAGGACAUGUGUGCUUGUAUUUUUUUCCUUUCUAUCCUUUGUACUUUUUAUUAUUUUUCACUUUUUGUGCCAAACUUUUUUUCCCAUAGAAACGAAUGGGGAAAUCUUCCAAUUCUUCCUGUUAUUCGUCCACCUUCUAAGCCUUAUAACUUCAGCAUACUUUCACCUAGAGACCUCAUUUUUGCUUUAAAAUGUUCAUUGUCUUGUCGACUAUUGAUGUUGUAUUAACCUUUUUGUGCUAUCUUUUACAGUUUUUCCACAAUUUAGCUUUAAGCAACUUGUGGUUUUCAGCAAAUUUCAGGUUUUAUAAUGGGGGUGAAUUGGAGAGGCUAGAGUGAUGAUUUGAAAAGCUAGAGUGCAGACCUCGUCUCUGAUCGACAGAACCUCGCUCGAAUAUAUCGCUCCCACGCCCACAAAUCUCACUCCAGAGCCAUAAAUAAUACAUCAAAAUGGAGGUAUAUGUGUCCUGCUUCUCACAAAAGAGGUUUCAAAUCAUUAAAUCCUACCCCUUGGCCAGCAGGUGACCAACUGUCCAAAAAAGGCGGAAAUCUCUCCCAUUGACCAUAAUGUUAUUUUUCUCCAAGAAAAUCCGGAUCAUCGCUCAGGCUCAGACUUUUUUAACUCGCUGUUGUGGCCUCAUUUUUCGAAGUACAGACAUGAAAAACACAUCAUUGUGUUCAUGAAGGACGGAGGAUUCGUACGAUGUUCUUAUUUUCAUUCUGGGACUUAAGGAAAUCACGCUAUGUGAAGAAGUUCACAGGCUGAAAUUCACUGCAGUUCAGCACCUCUCAGUCAAACAGUAGGUUAGUGAUUUGCCUUUGAUCUCACAGCUGUUUAGGAUGCAGUCAUUAACGAGACACACACACACACACACACACGCACACACAUUCUUGUACUUGUUGCUUUUUGAGGUCCACCUUGCAGUUCAGCUGCUUGUACACACAGUUAAUAUGUGUCUGCUUCACCACCUAUCUCCACCCACAAACUUUGAGCUACAGAAACCAUUCUGGGCUUCAAAAAUUCAGCUCAUUGAAGAUAUUAUGGGGUGUUUUGAGGAUUGUGAUAAUAAAUUGUAUUAAUGUGUUCAGCAGAGUCUUGUGUUCUCACAAGCUCCUUAUCAUGAAUAUAUACUGAGGAUGAGCGUCAGGGCCUACUUGGAGUCCUGUUUCCUUAGCUUCAAGCCUUCUUUCUCCUGCUAUAGUUAUGCAUCCAAGGUCCCCAUGGCAACCAAUUUGUGCACCUGGAGACACACAGCUGACUGGAAAGCUGCUUCUAAUGGCCAUAUGAGACACAUGAAGCCAGGCUCAGUACACAUAGCACUGGGGAUGACACUUAAAACCCUUUCCUAGAGCGCUUGAAAAAACUUCAGCCCCUAUCUCCUCACAUGACCUUUGACCUACAGAAACCAUUCAGGGCUUUAAAAUUUAAGCUCAUUGAGGACAUUAUGGGGUAUAUUUAGGAUUUAUAUUCAUUUAAAUUUUUCACAUUUUAAAGUCACUCAGUGAUGAUUUAUCAUUUAAUUUUUCAAACUAAUUUAAACUCAUUCAAAAUGAUUCAAACCUUUCUAAUACUAAAAAAACUUUCUGAUACUUCAGGAUUUUUAAUUAAUAAAAUUUUCCCUGUUUUAUAUUAGUUUUAAUAUUUAUGCAUUACUCCAUCCUUCAAACAAAAUCCUACCUCUAGUACUACAACUACUGCUAAUGUCAAUUAAACUAGUACUUUCCCCUCUACUUCAACUGCUAUUGCUCAUAUUUCUACUUUCUCUACUGCUGCUAUUGCUACUAUUUCUACUUUCUUUACUACUUUGACUUAUACUUCUUUUAUCCUCAAUCUACUUCUACUGCUGACAUGACUACUAGUAUCACGACUUGACCUCUUAUCAUACUACUUCUAGUACUACAACUUAAACUUAUGCCACUUCUCACCUUCCUGCCUUUUAAGGCAAUUUCCUUCUUCAUUCAAACUUUGUGCAAUUUUAGACAUUUUUCUAGCCUCUUUCAGCAUGAAUAAAAUUUCCUUUUAUAGAGCAUAUUCAUACUAUUUGUCCUUCAACCAAUUAAACAAUUAUCCAACUUAUAUUUCUUUUUCACCCCUUCAACAGCUUUAACAUUUAUACCUUUCUCCAUGUUUUAUUAGCAGUUUAGCAUUGCUUUUUCAGCUUUCAGCACUCAGCAUUUCCACGCAUUUUCUGCAAGGAAAUGCAAUUUUUCUAGUUAAGUGGAAAUGCUGACACAGCAUUUCCACUUAUUGUUAUUCUACUAUUUCUUUAUUAUUAUUAUUAUUAUUAUUAUUAUUAUUAUUAUUAUUAUUAUUCUUCCGUACCUUUUUUGGCCCUUUUCAACUCCUCACCACUUUGUGCUAUUUUCACCAUUCAAACUUUAUACUAAUGCACUCCUUCAGGACAUUACGGCUAUUACUUUUCACCUUUCUACCAUUUAUACUUUUUGCAAUAUUUCACUUUUUCUGCAAAAUUUGUUCCAUUACAAAUGAAUGGAGAUACAGCUAUAACACCUUCUCACCCUUAUAACUUCUGCAUACUUUCACCUACAGACCUCAUUUUUGCUUUAAAAUGUUCAGCAACGUGUCUGCUACAAAUGUUGUAUUCACUCCUUUUUGCUAUUUCCUACCGUUUUUGCACAAUUUCGCUUGGAGCAACAUGAAGUUCUCUGCCUUUUUCAGCCUGACUCACGCUACAGCGUGUGACGUCAGAUGUUACGUCACCGCUAGAUGCGGGCGGGGCCUUUUGGAUUCACUACACCAAGCAUGAUUAUUUUGCUGCUGCGGCCGCAAUUUUCACUCCACAGCCAUAAAAAACACAUCAAAAUGGAGGUACACUCGUCCUGCUUCUCACAAAAUCGGUCUGAAGUCAUGAAAUUGUACAGCUUGCCCAGGAGGUGAGUACAUUCCUUCAGAGCCAGAGAUUCUGCACUUGUCAUGGGCUGUCUGCUUCGAUCGCACACGCACAUGCACACGCACGGACUCGGCCGCUCGUGCGCGCGCGGGCACACACACAUACACACACACUGUUUCCAUGAGUGCAUUACUGUGUCUCUUUCUCUCUUACUGUCUCUGUCAGAUUCUGCACUUGUCAUGGGCUGUGUGCUUCGAUCACACACGCAUAUGCACACGCACUGGCUCGGCCGCGCGCGCGCGCGGGCACACACACACACACACACACACACACACACACACACACACACACACACUGUUUCCAUGUGUGCAUUACUGUCCCUCUGUCAGUAGAAAAUACAGCCCCAAUAUGAACUUUGUUGUUACAGUUCUUGUCUUUAACUCUUUUAACAUACUAACUUCUUCUUUUUCUUCUACUUCUGCUUUUCUUUUCUAUACUUUCUACAUUUAUACAAUUAAUUUAACUUCAGCUGUUUCAUACUUUCUGCAUUCAGAUGUAGGGCAGUAACUGAAGCAGGGCAAUAGAUGGUGCUGUUCUGCAUUCUCAAGUUACUAUGGUUGGAUGCUGCAGACUGCAAAAAUCUGUUUUACUAUUUGUACAUUUAAUAGGAACAUUGUUACACAUUGUUUAAAGGCAUUUGUUUUUCAAAUUCAAUUAUCCAUAUCAGUUCUGUUUAUUCACAUCAAUCAUAUACAUUUUUCACUUAGGCUAUCAGACAAUUUGUACAUUAAUCCAACUAAUUUACCUCCAGCUAUACUACAAUUCUUCCAUUCAUACAAUUUCUUCUUCUUCUACUCCACCUUUUCUACAGUUUUUCCGUUUAUACCUUCCUCCAUUUUUUAUUGGCAGUUUUGCAUUGCUUUUUCAGCUUUCAGCACUCAGCAUUUCCACGCAUUUUCUGCAAGGAAAUGCAAUUUUUCUAGUUAAGUGGAAAUGCUGAUAGGCAUUUCCACUUAUUGUUAUUCUCCUGUUUCUUUAUUAUUAUUAUUAAGUGGAAAUGCUGAUAGGCAUUUCCACUUAUUGUUAUUCUCCUGUUUCUUUAUUAUUAUUAUUAUUAUUAUUAUUAUUAUUAUUAUUUUUCUUCCGCCAUUUUUUGGCACUUUAUAACUCUUCUCCACUUUGUGCGAUUUCAACCGUUCAAACUUUAAACUAUUCCUCUCCUUCAGGACAUGACGGCGAUUACUUUUCACUUUUCUACCCUUUAUACUUUUUGAUUUUUUUAACUUUUUAUGCAAAAAUUUUAACAUUGAAGUCAAUGGGGAAAUCUUCCAAUUCUUCCUGUUUUUCUUCCACCUUCUGAACCUUGUAACUUCUGCAUACUUUCACCUAGAGACCUCAUUUUUGCUUUAAAAUGUUCAUUCACUUGUCGACUAUUACAGUUGUACUCAGUUUUUUGAUAUCUCUUACAGUUUUUCCACAAUUUAGCUUUAAGCAACUUGUGGUUUUCAGCAAAUUUCAAGCUUUAUAAUGGGUGUGUAUUGGAGAGUUUAGAGUGGUGAUGUCAUCAGCUAGAGUGCAGACCUCGUCUCUGAUCGACAGAACCUCGCUCGAAUAUAUCGCUCCCACGCCCACAAAUCUCACUCCACUGACACAAAUAAUACAUCAAAAUGGAGGUAUAUGUGUCCUGCUUCUCACAAAAGAGGUUUCAAAUCAUUAAAUCGUACCCCUUGGCCAGCAGGUGACCAACUGUCCAAAAAAGGCGGAAAUCUCUCCCAUUGACUGUAAUGUUAUUUUUCUCCAAGAAAAUCCGGAUCAUCGCUCAAGCUCAGACUUUUUUAACUCGCUGUUGUGGCCUCAUUUUUCGAAGUACAGACAUGAAAAACACAUCAUUGUGUUCAUGAAGGACGGAGGAUUCGUACGAUGUUCUUAUUUUCAUUCUGGGACUUAAGGAAAUCACGCUAUGUGAAGAAGUUCACAGGCUGAAAUUCACUGCAGUUCAGCACCUCUCAGUCAAACAGUAGGUUAGUGAUUUGCCUUUGAUCUCACAGCUGUUUAGGAUGCAGUCAUUAACGAGACACACACACACACACGCACACACACCUUCUUGUACUUGUUGCUUUUUGAGGUCCACCUUGCAGUUCAGCUGCUUGUACACACAGUUAAUAUGUGUCUGCUUCACCACCUAUCUCCACCCACAAACUUUGAGCAACAGAAACCAUUCUGGGCUUCAAAAAUUCAGCUCAUUGAAGAUAUUAUGGGGUGUUUUGAGGAUUGUGAUAAUAAAUUGUAUUAAUGUGUUCAGCAGAGUCUUGUGUUCUCACAAGCUCCUUAUGAAUAUAUACAGAGGGUGAGCGUCAGGGCCUACUUGGAGUCCUGUUUCUUUAGCUUCAAGCCUUCUUUCUCCUGCUAUAGUUAUGCAUCCAAGGUCCCCAUGGCAACCAAUUUGUGCACCUGGAGACACACAGCUGACUGGAAAGCUGCUUCUAGUGGCCAUAUGAGACACAUGAAGCCAGGCUCAGUACACAUAGCAAUUGGGAUGACACUUAAAACCCUUUCCUAGAGCGUUGGAAAAAACUUCAGCCCCAAUCCCCUCACAUGACCUUUGACCUACAGAAACCAUUCAGGGCUUUGAAAUUUAAGCUCAUUGAGGACAUUAUUGGGUGUAUUUAGGAUUGUUAUUCAUUUAAAUUUUUCACAUUUUAAAAGUCAGUCAGUGAUGAUUUAUCAUUUAAUUUUUCAAACUAAUUUAAACUCAUUCAAACUGAUUCAAACCUUUCUAAUACUUCAAAACUUUCUGAUACUUGAGGACUUUUGAUAAUUUAAAAUUUCCCUGUUUUAAAUUAGUUUUAAUAUUUAUGCAUUACUCCAUCAUUCAAACAAAAUCCUACCUCAAGUACGACAACUACUGCUAAUGUCAAUUAAACUAGAACUUUCCCCUCUACUUCAACUGCUAUUGCUCCUAUUUCUACUUUCUUUACUACUUUGACUUAUACUUCUUUUAUUCUCAAUCUACUUCUACUGCUGACAUGACUACUAGUAUCACAACUUGACUUCUUAUCAUACUACUUCUAGUACUACAAUUUAAACUUAUGCCACUUCUCACCUUCCUGCCUUUUAAGGCAAUUUCCUUCUUCAUUCAAACUUUGUGCAAUUUUCGACAUUUUUCUAGCCUCUUUCAGCAUGAAUAAAAUUUCCUUUUAUAGAGCAUAUUCAUACUAUUUGUCCUUCAACCAAUUAAUCAAUUAUCCAACUUAUAUUUCUUUCACCCCUUCAACAGCUUUAACAUUUAUACCUUUCUCCAUGUUUUAUUAGCAGUUUAGCAUUGCUUUUUCAGCUUUCAGCACUCAGCAUUUCCACGCAUUUUCUGCAAGGAAAUGCAAUUUUUCUAGUUAUUAUUAUUAUUUUCUUCCGCCAUUUUUUUGGCCGCUUCUCCUCCUUCAAACUUUGUGCCGAUUUCAACCGUUCAAACUUUAAACUAUUCCACUCCUUCAGGACAUGAGGCGUAUUACUUUUCACUUUUCUACCCUUUAUACUUUUUGAUUUUUUUAACUUUUUGUGCAAAAAUUUUAACCAUUGAAAUGAAUGGGGAAAUCUUCCAAUUCUUCCUGUUAUUCUUCCACCUUCUAACCUUAUAACUUCAGCAUACUUUCACCUAGAGACCUCAUUUUUGCUUUAAAAUGUUCAUUCACUUGUCGACUAUUAAUGUUGUACUCAGUUUUUUGAUAUCUUUUACAGUUUUUCCACAAUUUAGCUUUAAGCAACUUGUGGUUUUCAGCAAAUUUCAGGCUUUAUAAUGGGUGUGUAUUGGAGAGUUUAGAGUGAUGAUGUCAUCAGCUAGAGUGCAGACCUCGUCUCUGAUCGACAGAACCUCGCUCGAAUAUAUCGCUCCCACGCCCACAAAUCUCACUCCACAGACAUAAAAAAUACAUCAAAAUGGAGGUAUAUGUGUCCUGCUUCUCACAAAAGAGGUUUCAAAUCAUUAAAUCGUACCCCUUGGCCAGCAGGUGACCAACUGUCCAAAAAAGGCGGAAAUCUCUCCCAUUGACUGUAAUGUUAUUUUUCUCCAAGAAAAUCCGGAUCAUCGCUCAAGCUCAGACUUUUUUAACUCGCUGUUGUGGCCUCAUUUUUCGAAGUACAGACAUGAAAAACACAUCAUUGUGUUCAUGAAGGACGGAGGAUUCGUACGAUGUUCUUAUUUUCAUUCUGGGACUUAAGGAAAUCACGCUAUGUGAAGAAGUUCACAGGCUGAAAUUCACUGCAGUUCAGCACCUCUCAGUCAAACAGUAGGUUAGUGAUUUGCCUUUGAUCUCACAGCUGUUUAGGAUGCAGUCAUUAACGAGACACACACACACACACACACACACACACGCACACGCACACACACCUUCUUGUACUUGUUGCUUUUUGAGGUCCACCUUGCAGUUCAGCUGCUUGUACACACAGUUAAUAUGUGUCUGCUUCACCACCUAUCUCCACCCACAAACUUUGAGCUACAGAAACCAUUCUGGGCUUCAAAAAUUCAGCUCAUUGAAGAUAUUAUGGGGUGUUUUGAGGAUUGUGAUAAUAAAUUGUAUUAAUGUGUUCAGCAGAGUCUUGUGUUCUCACAAGCUCCUUAUGAAUAUAUACAGAGGGUGAGCGUCAGGGCCUACUUGGAGUCCUGUUUCCUUAGCUUCAAGCCUUCUUUCUCCUGCUAUAGUUAUGCAUCCAAGGUCCCCAUGGCAACCAAUUUGUGCACCUGGAGACACACAGCUGACUGGAAAGCUGCUUCUAAUGGCCAUAUGAGACACAUGAAGCCAGGCUCAGUACACAUAGCACUUGGGAUGACACUUAAAACCCUUUCCUAGAGCGUUGAAAAAACUUCAGCCCCUAUCUCCUCACAUGACCUUUGACCUACAGAAACCAUUCAGGGCUUUAAAAUUUAAGCUCAUUGAGGACAUUAUGGGGUGUAUUUAGGAUUUAUAUUCAUUUAAAUUUUUCACAUUUUAAAGUCACUCAGUGAUGAUUUAUCAUUUAAUUUUUCAAACUAAUUUAAACUCAUUCAAACUGAUUCAAACCUUUCUAAUACUUCAAAACUUUCUGAUACUUGAGGACUUUUGAUAAUUUAAAAUUUUCCUGUUUUAAAUUAGUUUUAAUAUUUAUGCAUUACUCCAUCAUUCAAACAAAAUCCUACCUCAAGUACGACAACUACUGCUAAUGUCAAUUAAACUAGAACUUUCCCCUCUACUUCAACUGCUAUUGCUCCUAUUUCUACUUUCUUUACUACUUUGACUUAUACUUCUUUUAUUCUCAAUCUACUUCUACUGCUGACAUGACUACUAGUAUCACAACUUGACUUCUUAUCAUACUACUUCUAGUACUACAAUUUAAACUUAUGCCACUUCUCACCUUCCUGCCUUUUAAGGCAAUUUCCUUCUUCAUUCAAACUUUGUGCAAUUUUAGACAUUUUUCUAGCCUCUUUCAGCAUGAAUAGAAUUUACUUUUAAAGAGCAUAUUCAUACUAUUUGUCCUUCAACCAAUUAAUCAAUUAUCCAACUUAUAUUUCUUUUUCACCCCUUCAACAGCUUUAACAUUUAUACCUUUCUCCAUGUUUUAUUAGCAGUUUAGCAUUGCUUUUUCAGCUUCAGCACUCAGCAUUUCCACGCAUUUUCUGCAAGGAAAUGCAAUUUUUCUAGUUAAGUGGAAAUGCUGAUUAAGCAUUUCCACUUAUUGUUAUUCUCCUGUUUCUUUAAUCUUAUUAUUAUUAUUCUUCCGCCGUUUUUUGUCACGCUUCUCCUCCUUCAAACUUUGUCCGAUUUCAACCAUUCAAACUUUAAACUAUUCCACUCCUUCAGGACAUGUGUGCUAUUACUUUUCACUUUUCUACCCUUUAUACUUUUUGAUUUUUUUAACUUUUUGUGCAAAAAUUUUAACAUUGAAGUCAAUGGGGAAAUCUUCCACUUCUUCCUUUUUUUCUUCCACCUUCUAGACCUUAUAACUUCAGCAUACUUUCACCUAGAGACCUCAUUUUUGCUUUAAAAUGUUCAUUCACUUGUCGACUAUUAUAGUUGUACUCAGUUUUUUGAUAUCUUUUACAGUUUUUCCACAAUUUAGCUUUAAGCAACUUGUGGUUUUCAGCAAAUUUCAAGCUUUAUAAUGGGUGUGUAUUGGAGAGUUUAGAGUGAUGAUGUCAUCAGCUAGAGUGCAGACCUCGUCUCUGAUCGACAGAACCUCGCUCGAAUAUAUCGCUCCCACGCCCACAAAUCUCACUCCACUGACACAAAUAAUACAUCAAAAUGGAGGUAUAUGUGUCCUGCUUCUCACAAAAGAGGUUUCAAAUCAUUAAAUCGUACCCCUUGGCCAGCAGGUGACCAACUGUCCAAAAAAGGCGGAAAUCUCUCCCAUUGACUGUAAUGUUAUUUUUCUCCAAGAAAAUCCGGAUCAUCGCUCAAGCUCAGACUUUUUUAACUCGCUGUUGUGGCCUCAUUUUUCGAAGUACAGACAUGAAAAACACAUCAUUGUGUUCAUGAAGGACGGAGGAUUCGUACAAUGUUCUUAUUUUCAUUCUGGGACUUAAGGAAAUCACGCUAUGUGAAGAAGUUCACAGGCUGAAAUUCACUGCAGUUCAGCACCUCUCAGUCAAACAGUUGGUUAGUGAUUUGCCUUUGAUCUCACAGCUGUUUAGGAUGCAGUCAUUAACGACACACACACACACACGCACACACAUUCUUGUACUUGUUGCUUUUUGAGGUCCACCUUGCAGUUCACCUGCUUGUACACACAGUUAAUAUGUGUCUGCUUCACCACCUAUCUCCACCCACAAACUUUGAGCUACAGAAACCAUUCUGGGCUUCUAAAAUUCAGCUCAUUGAAGAUAUUAUGGGGUGUUUUGAGGAUUGUGAUAAUAAAUUGUAUUAAUGUGUUUAGCAGAGUCUUGUGUUCUCACAAGCUCCUUAUCAGGAAUAGAUACAGAGGAUGAGCGUCAGGGCCUACUUGGAGUCCUGUUUCCUUAGCUUCAAGCCUUCUUUCUCCUGCUAUAGUUAUGCAUCCAAGGUCCCCAUGGCAACCAAUUAGUGCACCUGGAGACACACAGCUGACUGGAAAGCUGCUUCUAAUGGCCAUAUGAGACACAUGAAGCCAGACUCAGCACACAUAGCACUGGGGAUGACACUUAAAACCCUUUCCUAGAGCGCUUGAAAAACCUUCAGCCCCUAUCUCCUCACAUGACCUUUGACCUACAGAAACCAUUCAGGGCUUUAAAAUUUGAGCUCAUUGAGGACAUUAUUGGGUGUAUUUAGGAUUGUUAUUCAUUUAAAUUUUUCACAUUUUAAAAGUCAGUCAGUGAUGAUUUAUCAUUUAAUUAUUCAAACUAAUUUGAACUCAUUUAAACUGAUUCAAACCUUUCUAAUACUUAAAAAAUUAAACUUAUGCCACUUCUCACCUUCCUGCCUUUUAAGGCAAUUUCCUUCUUCAUUCAAACUUUGUGCAAUUUUAGACAUUUUUCUAGCCUCUUUCAGCAUGAAUAAAAUUUCUUUUUAUAGAGCAUAUUCAUACUAUUUGUCCUUCAACCAAUUAAUCAAUUAUCCAACUUACAUUUCUUUCACACCCCUUCAACAGCUUUAACAUUUAUACAUUUCUCCAUGUUUUAUUAGCAGUUUAGCAUUGCUUUUUCAGCUUUCAGCACUCAGCAUUUCCACGCAUUUUCUGCAAGGAAAUGCAAUUUUUCUAGUUAAGUGGAAAUGCUGAUAGGCAUUUCCACUUAUUGUUAUUCUCCCGUUUCUUUAUUAUUAUUAUUAUUAUUAUUCUUCCGCCGUUUUUCGUCCGCUUUCAACUCCUUCCCAGUUUGUCCGAUUUCAACCGUUCAAACUUUAAACUAUUCCACUCCUUCAGGACACGUUUGCUAUUACUUUUCACUUUUCUAACAUUUAUACUUUUUGUUUUUUUUAACUUUUUGUGCAAAAAUUUUAACAUUAAAGUCAAUGGGGAAAUCUUCCAAUUCUUCCUUUUAUUCUUCCACCUUCUAGACCUUAUAACUUCAGCAUACUUUCACCUAGAGACCUCAUUUUUGCUUUAAAAUGUUCAUUCACUUGUCGACUAUUAAAGUUGUACUCAGUUUUUUGAUAUCUCUUACAGUUUUUCCACAAUUUAGCUUUAAGCAACUUGUGGUUUUCAGCAAAUUUCAAGCUUUAUAAUGGGUGUGUAUUGGAGAGUUUAGAGUGAUGAUGUCAUCAGCUAGAGUGCAGACCUCGUCUCUGAUCGACAGAACCUCGCUCGAAUAUAUCGCUCCCACGCCCACAAAUCUCACUCCACUGACACAAAUAAUACAUCAAAAUGGAGGUAUAUGUGUCCUGCUUCUCACAAAAGAGGUUUCAAAUCAUUAAAUCGUACCCCUUGGCCAGCAGGUGACCAACUGUCCAAAGAAGGCGGAAAUCUCUCCCAUUGACCGUAAUGUUAAUUUUCUCCAAGAAAAUCCGGAUCAUCGCUCAGGCUCAGACUUUUUUAACUCGCUGUUGUGGCCACAUCUGUCGGAGUACAGACAUGAAAAAUACUUCAUUGUGUUCAUGAAGGGCGGAGGAUUCGUACGAUGUUCUUAUUUUCAUUCUGUGACUUAAGGAAAUCACGCUAUGUGAAGAAGUUUAGAGCCUCUAAAUCCUCUGCAGUUCAGCUGCUUCUCAUUCAAACAGUAGGUCAGUGAUUUGCCUUUGAUCUCACAGCUGUUUAGGAUGCAGUCAUUAACGAGACACACACACACACACACACACAUUCUUGUACUUGUUGCUUUAUGAGGUCUACCUUGCAGUUCAGCUGCUUGUACACACAGUUAAUAUGUGUCUGCUUCGCCACCUAUCUCCAC